GCCAGUGUGGUGCAGUGGUUUUAGUGCUGAAUUAGGACUCUGGAGAUCAGGGUUCAAAUCCCAGUUCAGCCA